AUCCUUUUCUAGUUCAUACGUGUGGUGAUUGGGUGUUCACGCUCUUGUGACAUGUGCCUCCCACAAACCUUGUUACAACAUUGGCACAUUACUUGUCUGACA